UACGGAGGGUGCAAGCGUUAAUCGGAAUUACUGGGCGUAAAGCGCGCGUAGGUGGCUAUUUAAGUCAGAUGUGAAAGCCCUGGGCUCAACCUGGGAAUGGCAUUUGAUACUGGAUAGCUAGAGUAUGGUAGAGGUGAGUGGAAUUUCAGGUGUAGCGGUGAAAUGCGUAGAGAUCUGAAGGAACAUCAGUGGCGAAGGCGACUUCCUGGCCUGUUCUUGACGCUGAGGCGCGAAAGCUAGGGUAGCAAACGGG
rnacentral:rRNA from 1 species